GAAGUCCGCCAGGCAGCCGCUGUGCGCCUCGUGCGCAUGGAGGAAAGUCCGGGCCCCAUAGAGCAGGAUGCCGGCUAACGGCCGGGCGCCGUGAGGCGAUGGAAAGUGGCACAGAAAAUACACAGCCUAAGUUCGCAAGAACCGGCAAUGGUGAAAAGGCGGGGUAAGAGCCCACCGCAGUUCGUGGCAACACGGCUGGCACGCUAAACCCCAUCCGGGGCAAGGCCAAAUAGGGAAGCCAUGGCGCUGCUCGCGCCGCUUCCGGGUAGGCUGCUAGAGCGUCGCGGUAACGCGUCGCCCAGAGGAAUGGCUGCCGGGCAGCUUCGGCUGCCUUACAGAACCCGGCUUAUCGGCGGACUUCCACU
rnacentral:RNase_P_RNA from 1 species